rnacentral:rRNA from 1 species
GAUGAACGCUGGCGGCGUGCCUAACACAUGCAAGUCGAGCGGCAGCGAGGGGUGCUUGCACCCUGCCGGCGAGCGGCGGACGGCUGAGUAACGCGUGGGAACGUGCCCCAAAGUGAGGAAUAACUGCCCGAAAGGGUAGCUAAUACCGCAUAUUAUCUUCGGAUCAAAGGAUUUAUCCGCUUUGGGAGCGGCUCGCGUCGGAUUAGGUAGUUGGUGAGGUAAUGGCUCACCAAGCCGACGAUCCGUAGCUGGUCUGAGAGGAUGACCAGCCAGACUGGAAAUGAGACACGGUCCAGACUCCUACGGGAGGCAGCAGUGAGGAAUCUUCCACAAUGGGCGAAAGCCUGAUGGAGCAACGCCGCGUGCAGGACGAAGGCCUUCGGGUUGUAAACUGCUUUUAUAAGUGAGGAAUAUGACGGUAACUUAUGAAUAAGGAUCGGCUAACUACGUG